AACGAACGCUGGCGGCAGGCCUAACACAUGCAAGUCGAGCGCCCUUUCGGGGGAGCGGCGGACGGGUGAGUAACGCGUGGGAAUAUGCCCUUCUCUACGGAAUAGCCUCGGGAAACUGAGAGUAAUACCGUAUACGCCCUGUGGGGGAAAGACUUAUCGGGGAAGGAUUAGCCCGCGUUGGAUUAGGUAGUUGGUGGGGUAAUGGCCUACCAAGCCGACGAUCCAUAGCUGGUUUGAGAGGAUGAUCAGCCACACUGGGACUGAGACACGGCCCAGACUCCUACGGGAGGCAGCAGUGGGGAAUCUUAGACAAUGGGGGCAACCCUGAUCUAGCCAUGCCGCGUGAGUGAUGAAGGCCUUAGGGUUGUAAAGCUCUUUCAGCUGGGAAGAUAAUGACGGUACCAGCAGAAGAAGCCCCGGCUAACUCCGUG
rnacentral:rRNA from 1 species